rnacentral:rRNA from 1 species
UACCAGCUCUCCGAGUGGUGUGGAUGUUUAUUGGGCCUAAAGCAUCCGUAGCUGGCUAAGUUAGUCCCUUGUUAAAUCCACCGAAUUAAUCGUUGGGUUGCGGGGGAUACUGCUUGGCUAGGGGACGAGAGAGGCAGACGGUAUUUUCGGGGUAGGGGUGAAAUCCUAUAAUCCCGGGAAGACCACCAGUGGCGAAGGCUGUCUGCUAGAACGCGCCCGACGGUGAGGGAUGAAAGCUGGGGAGC